AGAGUUUGAUCAUGGCUCAGAUUGAACGCUGGCGGCAGGCUUAACACAUGCAAGUCGAACGAUGACUCUCUAGCUUGCUAGAGAUGAUUAGUGGCGGACGGGUGAGUAACAUUUAGGAAUCUGCCUAGUAGUGGGGGAUAGCUCGGGGAAACUCGAAUUAAUACCGCAUACGACCUACGGGUGAAAGGGGGCGCAAGCUCUUACUAUUAGAUGAGCCUAAAUCAGAUUAGCUAGUUGGUGGGGUAAAGGCCUACCAAGGCGACGAUCUGUAACUGGUCUGAGAGGAUGAUCAGUCACACCGGAACUGAGACACGGUCCGGACUCCUACGGGAGGCAGCAGUGGGGAAUAUUGGACAAUGGGGGCAACCCUGAUCCAGCCAUGCCGCGUGUGUGAAGAAGGCCUUUUGGUUGUAAAGCACUUUAAGCAGGGAGGAGAGGCUAAUGGUUAAUACCCAUUAGAUUAGACGUUACCUGCAGAAUAAGCACCGGCUAACUCUGUGCCAGCAGCCGCGGUAAUACAGAGGGUGCGAGCGUUAAUCGGAAUUACUGGGGCGUAAAGCGAGUGUAGGUGGCUCAUUAAGUCACAUGUGAAAUCCCCCGGGCUUAACCUGGGAACUGCAUGUGAUACUGGUGGUGCUAGAAUAUGUGAGAGGGAAGUAGAAUUCCAGGUGUAGCGGUGAAAUGCGUAGAGAUCUAGAGGAAUACCGAUGGCGAAGGCAGCUUCCUGGCAUAAUAUUGACACUGAGAUUCGAAAGCGUGGGUAGCAAACAGGAUUAGAUACCCUGGUAUUCCACGCCGUAUACGAUGUCUACUAGCCGUUGGGGUCCUUGAGACUUUAGUG
rnacentral:rRNA from 1 species